GCAGAGAUGGCUCAGCAGUUAAGAGCACUGACUGCACUUGCAGAGGUCCUGAGUUCAAAUCCCAGCAACCGCA
rnacentral:tRNA from 1 species